CACUUAAUCCACUAUUAACCACACCUUUUCCCCAAUUACCUCAUCAUUAUCUGAUUUCCCUCCCACACAUCAUUACUCUCUCUCAUCAUUCUUUAUCUCUUUCUCUCACAAUCUUUCAAAUUCCAUUAAACCUCAUUAACCUCACCACACAAAACCUUCCAUAACCCCAAUUUCCACUCACCUAUCGCCAAAACACCCUUCACAA
rnacentral:lncRNA from 1 species